UACGUAGGGGGCAAGCGUUGUCCGGAAUUAUUGGGCGUAAAGAGCGUGUAGGCGGUCCGGUAAGUCCGCUGUGAAAGUCCAGGGCUCAACCCUGGAAUGCCGGUGGAUACUGCCGGGCUAGAGUCCGGAAGAGGCGAGUGGAAUUCCUGGUGUAGCGGUGAAAUGCGCAGAUAUCAGGAGGAACACCGAUGGCGAAGGCAGCUCGCUGGGACGGUACUGACGCUAAGGCGCGAAAGCGUGGGGAGCGAACAGG
rnacentral:rRNA from 1 species